rnacentral:tRNA from 1 species
AUUUAUAUAGUAUAAUAGUAUAUUUGACUUCCAAUCAAAAGGUCUAAUUUUUUUUAGUAUAAAUA